AGAGUUUGAUCCUGGCUCAGAAUCAACGCUGCGGCGUGCCUAACACAUGCAAGUCGAACGCGAGAGGGGCUUGGCCCUGAUUGAGUGGCGAACGGGUGAGUAACACGUGGGUGAUCACCUUUGAGUGGGGGAUAACGUUCCGAAAGGAACGCUAAUACCGCAUGACGUCCGGGUUGAAGACCUGGAACCAAAGCCGGGACCGCAAGGCCUGGCGCUUGGAGAGGAGCCCGCGCCUGAUUAGCUAGUUGGUGAGGUAACGGCUCACCAAGGCUACGAUCAGUAGCCGGCCUGAGAGGGCGGACGGCCACACUGGGACUGAGACACGGCCCAGACUCCUACGGGAGGCAGCAGUGGGGAAUUGUUCGCAAUGGGCGCAAGCCUGACGACGCAACGCCGCGUGGAGGAUGAGGGUCUUCGGAUUGUAAACUCCUGUUGAUCGGGAAGAAUGGACUCCGGGUUAAUACUCCGGGGUAGUGACGGUACCGAUUGAGGAAGCCACGGCUAACUCUGUG
rnacentral:rRNA from 1 species